UACGGAGGGAGCUAGCGUUGUUCGGAAUUACUGGGCGUAAAGCGCACGUAGGCGGCUUUGUAAGUUAGAGGUGAAAGCCCGGAGCUCAACUCCGGAGUUGCCUUUAAGACUGCAUCGCUUGAAUCCGGGAGAGGUGAGUGGAAUUCCGAGUGUAGAGGUGAAAUUCGUAGAUAUUCGGAAGAACACCAGUGGCGAAGGCGGCUCACUGGACCGGUAUUGACGCUGAGGUGCGAAAGCGUGGGGAGCAAACAGG
rnacentral:rRNA from 1 species